UGGGGGGAUUAGUACUACACUGCGUGAGCGGACGAAAACAACAACACCUAAAAUGUGGAAUAUAGCAUAUAGUCGACAAGAGAAAUCUACGAAAAACAAACAAAACUUUCAACAACGGAUCUCUUGGUUCUCGCAUCGAUGAAGAGCGCAGCGAAAUGCGAUACCUAGUGUGAAUUGCAGCCAUCGUGAAUCAUCGAGUUCUUGAACGCACAUUGCGCCCCUCGGCAUUCCGGGGGGCAUGCCUGUUUGAGCGUCGUUUCCAUCUUGCGCGUGCGCAGAGUUGGGGGAGCGGAGCGGACGACGUGUAAAGAGCGUCGGAGCUGCGACUCGCCUGAAAGGGAGCGAAGCUGGCCGAGCGAACUAGACUUUUUUUCAGGGACGCUUGGCGGCCGAGAGCGAGUGUUGCGAGACAACAAAAAGCUCGACCUCAAAUCAGGUAGGAAUACCCGCUGAACUUAAGCAUAUCAAUAAGUCGGAGGAA
rnacentral:rRNA from 1 species